rnacentral:lncRNA from 1 species
GGGCUCCAUUUCUAGGCAACAAGUGGUAUCAGAGUCCGGUGCUCUAGUCCUUGCUUGAUUUAUCCAUCAAGAGCUAAAAAUCUAUGACAGCCCAAUUUGGCACAUCUCUAGCUGAGAGGCAAUUCAUAAACUGAUCUCUACUUUUUAAUAGAUCAAACUACACCUAUUGAAAAACUCAGAUGAAAUUUUUUAUACAAGCACAUGACUAUGACAUGUGGAGUGUCAUAAUAAAUGGACCACACACACUCAUUAAAUUAAUUGAUGGUGUAUCUCUCC